rnacentral:hammerhead_ribozyme from 1 species
UCGUCACUGAGGGGACCAAAUCAGGUCGAAACACCGUGUCUGACGA